ACGCAUUCACGUACACAUUGUAUGAAAAUGCUUCAACUCGUACGUCCGGCGUGUGACAAAAAAUCGAACGCUAACCACUCUCUCCAUUUCUUUCCCCAGCACAACAGUUAACCUUAUCUCAUUUCCAACCAUUCAUUUUCCUCUCCUCUCUCCCCACGCCUGUACUAGCAGUGGCCAAGCAGGCGGACGCAGAGCGACAAGGCGGCGGCGGUGCCGGAGUGGAGGAGCGCGGUGGCCCGAGGGGAGGCGGUGGCGGGGGCGGAGCACACCUCCAUCGUGCCUGGGCUCCGGCGGCGGCGCUCGGACGAGGACGAUGCAGCGGUGCCGGAGCGGAGGAGCGCGGCGGUGCGGCGGCCCGAGGGGAGGCGGAGGCGGCAGGGGCGGAGCACGCCUCCAUCAUGCCUGUGCUCCAGCGAUGGCGAUGGUGAUGGCGGGAGUGAAUCUGAAGACAUGGCCACCGGCGGAGACCUGAUGCGGAUGCAGCUGUUCCUAGCCGAGGUCGUCCAUCUCGUGCUGCUGCUCGUCUGGGGACGACGGCCGGAGUUGAGGGUGGUCGCUAGCGCUGGAGUUGAAGAAGAAGACGGAGGGAUAAAACAUGUGAAACAUUCCUCGGUAAGACGGUGCAACACCGUCCGAUGAUUUGCACCAGAUCGGACGUCCGAUCCGUAGCGGCCUCCCACAUCGCACUUACGCCCGGUCACACAUAAUGAUAAGAGCUUUAUGGAGGUUAUAUUGGGUUUUAGCAUUUCCCGCUCCGUGUAAAUUACAACUAUGUUAAGUGUAUGUUUACGUUUGUGGAUAUUUAUUAGCCAUAGAACUCAUGUUAAAUUGUUAAUAUCGCCCUCUUAAUAGCAUGUGAAGCUCCACCACUAAUGAUACGAUCAAACUAGAUCGAACCGCUCAAGUUGUUGGUUCACCAGCCAAACCGCCCUUUUUUAUUAAUUGAUAUUAUAUUUGUUUUGCAUUAUUUUUAAUACAGAAACACCAGAAAUUGAUGAAAAUAUAUAUGAAUAAAUGUUUUAAAAAUACCACCAAUAUAUCUAAGAAUACAUGAACAUCACAGCAUCACAAAAACAAAUGAUAGAAUCGUAACAUAAAUAAAUCCAUAAUACUGUAUCAUGGUAAUAGUGCCCCAACAGACUAACAGCUUAAUAAAGUUUAUAAGGUAUGCAUAGGAAAAUUAAAAGGGUAAGUAUAUGGCUCUUAACCCAUACAAGGCGAGUACACAGCCAACAAAUUCAUGACAAAAACUCCUAAACAUGAGAAAAAUUCCAAUCAGCAAGCUAGGUUAUUAUCCCAUUGAUCGUUGUUUGCUUCAUUUGGUUGUCCAAUAUCACCACUAAAAAGAGCAUGAUCAUCCAUAUCCAGGUGGUGCAUUUCCAUCUUCAGAAUUCCCAUCAUCAUCAAGAAGAUUAGCUUCAUCCACACUUACUAGUUCUUUCUCUGUUAUGUCAAUUUUAUGUUGAAUAU